rnacentral:rRNA from 1 species
GAUGAACGCUGGCGGCGUGCCUAAUACAUGCAAGUCGAGCGAACGGACGAGAAGCUUGCUUCUCUGAUGUUAGCGGCGGACGGGUGAGUAACACGUGGAUAACCUACCUAUAAGACUGGGAUAACUUCGGGAAACCGGAGCUAAUACCGGAUGAUAUUUUGAACCGCAUGGUUCAAAAGUGAAAGACGGUCUUGCUGUCACUUAUAGAUGGAUCCGCGCUGCAUUAGCUAGUUGGUAAGGUAACGGCUUACCAAGGCAACGAUGCAUAGCCGACCUGAGAGGGUGAUCGGCCACACUGGAACUGAGACACGGUCCAGACUCCUACGGGAGGCAGCAGUGGGGAAUCUUACGCAAUGGGCGAAAGCCUGACGGAGCAACGCCGCGUGAGUGAUGAAGGUCUUCGGAUCGUAAAACUCUGUUAUUAGGGAAGAACAUAUGUGUAAGUAACUGUGCACAUCUUGACGGUACCUAAUCAGAAAGCCACGGCUAACUACGUG